GAGCUGGGCAGCGCUGUGGCAGGCGGCACUGACGUCAGAGUGGCAGUUAGCCGGUCGAUGCCAGUUAGCACCUCAUUAGCAUAUCCCGAAAAUAGAAGAUUACGGCAAAACGGCGCGGCGGAUCCGGGCACGGUCACGUGUCCCCCCUUCAGGAUCUGUCAUCCGGAAGCGGCUGCAUCCAUCGCUCGGCAUUCCACAGGAGCCCCAGCCAAGCGCCGAGCCAUCGAUCACGUAGAGACCAGAUCGGAGGGUUCCCGUGGACGGAGAAGGGAGACAGAGACACCCGUGAUCAGCUGUCAAGUUCAUGAGAGCUCACACUAUUGUCCUGCACAGAUCACACUCAGGAUGUUUUCGGAGACCCAGAACAACUCAGACACCAACGUCACCUCCUUGCCCUAUACUGCCUCAUCCUAUGUGACAUCAGUGCUGCCAACAACAGCCGCUGGAAUCCAUGGCGCCAAUGUUACUGUACCGCCAGUGUGUCUGGUCAUCCUUUAUGAAGACAUAAGAAGCUCCAGGGUGAGAUAUUGGGAUCUCUUGCUCUUAAUUCCCAAUGUCCUUUUCUUUGUGUUCCUGCUGUGGAAGUUGCCAUCAGCCAGAGCAAAAAUUCGAGUCACUUCAAGUCCAAUCUUCACGACCUUCUACAUUCUUGUGUUUGUAGUGGCCCUUGUGGGAAUCACACGAGCAAUUGUAUCUAUGACGGUCAGUUCAUCCAGUGUGGCCACUGUCACAGACAAGGUUUUGUGGGAAAUCACCAGGUUCUUCCUUCUUGCCAUAGAACUGAGCGUUAUCAUCCUGGGUUUAGCUUUUGGUCAUCUUGAAAGUAAAUCCAGUGUGAAGCGGGUGCUUGCUAUUACGGCUGUCCUUUCUCUUGGGUACUCUGUAACACAGGGUACUCUGGAAAUCCUGUACCCAGACUCCCAUCUGUCAGCAGAGGACUUUAAUAUCUAUGGACAUGGUGGCAGGCACUUCUGGCUUGCCAGCUCUUGCUUUUUCUUCUUGGUGUAUACAUUGGUUUCUAUACUCCCCAAAACGCCACUGAAAGACCGCAUCUCUCUUCCAUCAAGAAAAAGUUUUUACGUGUAUGCUAUAAUCCUGGCUGUGCUGAAUUUGGUGCAAGGAGUAGGAAGUGCCCUGCUAUGUGUGGACAUUAUUAAUGGGCUGUGCCUUGUCGACAUUACUACAUUUUUAUACUUUAGCCUGUUUGCUCCUCUCAUGUAUGUCGCAUUCCUGAAAGGCUUCUUUGGGUCUGAGCCCAAAAUUCUUUUCUCUUACAAAUCCCAAGUAGAUGAGCCGGAUGAUACAGACGUCCACCUCCCGCAUCCCUAUGCAGUGGCAAAGAAAGAAGGCACAGACUCUGGAUUUUACUCCAGCACUCAGAUCGACACAACGGCUUAUCUAGAUGACGUGGCCUCUAUGCCUCAUGUUGGGAGCAUUAACAGCAUUGACAGUGACCGCUGGAAAGCUAUCAAUGCUUAAGCCUCCGCUCUCGGUUGAGUCACUAAAACAUCUCACUGGGGUUCUGCCUAACUAACCUCUGGAUAUCUAAACAUUGGAAAAGAUGCAGAAGUUCUUCAGAGUGCAAAUCUCUAUAAAAAUAUUUUUCCCUCCUCUAUGAGCCAUGCUCUUUCGUAAAAUCUCCUAUGGAAAUUGAUUAUACCAGAUACCUUUUCUAUUGCUGCUAAGCGAGGACAAAGAUUGCUGAUCUUGGAUCAAGGUGCAACAUCGUCAGCCUUGGGGAUGAUGGAAGAGGCUGGCAUGGCACGUGUUAAAAUGACUGACACCAUGCGUCAUCAAUACAGUCUCACUGGACUCUCCUCAGUAGGUGCUGGACUCUCUGAGUAGCUGGAUCUUUGCUUGCACUGAGUGUCCUGGCUUUUUCCAUUGUCAGUACUAAGAUCUGAAUGCACAUAUGGUUCACACAAUCGCUGUAGGUGGCAUAGGACCUUCACCUGUGCCAGGCUGUAACAGUAGUCAGCAACGGGCAGCUCUAAAGCAUUUAGGAAACAUUGAAGCCACAGGUUGAAGCUCCCUGUAUUAAAGAUAGAACAAAAUGAGAUAAUGUUAAAGAGCAUCAUCGAUAUGAAAAAUACCACUCUAUAAGCGUUUGAAUCCUUUAUUUGCCAUGUAAAAAAAAUUUGGUUCCAUAAUUUCUUUACAGUCCCUGGAAAUGCUUGGUGACAAACCCCACUGGAGCUUUUACAGCGCCUGCAUUUGCUGUACUGUCGCUUUCUAGAAAGUAGAUAAAAGUUCUGCAUAGCUGUUAUGUUUUCUAGGAAAGCUGGGUGGAAUCACUUUGCAUCAUUUAUGAGAGUAUCUUUCCAUAGCUAGUUAGAUUUGCCAUUGGGGAGGUAGCUAAGGCUGCUUUCACACUAUAAAAUUCAUCCGUUUUAAAGAUCCGUCUGAUGU